rnacentral:misc_RNA from 1 species
ACAGUCAAAUCCCUCGUUGACCGCGCCCCACUUUUUUUCAUCUUUCUCUUUCUUCCAAUUAUAUAAACCGCAUACUCUUCAUUCAUAUUUUAUAAAACACCAAUUCAAAAAAUCGUAUCAGCACCUAUGGCUGUGAAAGAUAAGGCUGUGAAAGGAGGUAAUGUGAAAGUGAAUCAUGGAGUUAAGGAAGUUCACUACAGAGGUGUAAGGAAGAGGCCAUGG